rnacentral:lncRNA from 1 species
AAUCUCGGCCCGAAGCUCCUGGGCUACUGUAACGAUACAUUUCAGGGGGCCAUUUCUUACAUAUUGCACCUUUUAAUAUUUUCCAUUACUACCCUAUUGCCUUUCGUGGUGUAGUUUCUUAUUGAGAGGAGAGUCGUGCUGGGUGUGUUAUCUGUAUUUCAUCAUGUUCAUAUAUUGAUGUGACACGUGAUGAGUGAUGUAAUAACGUUGAAAAAGAGUUUGCUUUAAAUGGUAACACAGAAAGUGUUUCUUAACAACUCAAACUGUGACAAUGCUGCACCGUCCAGAGUUCAUCAGUCAGUGUCCAAUCUGGUGACCUCCCUCUCUUUGCCUCUCUAUCUCUCUCUUAAGUGUUAAUGUACUUUAAGUGACCAAUUAUUUAGUUAGUGUGUGUACGCCUCGGGUGUCUCUCCCAACAAGUGGGGGGGAGGAUGCGGAGAACAGGAGCACCUAGAAGCAGAAGGAGGGGCCCCUCAGACCAGAGUGUAUAUUAGACCCUCACAAUCAGGGUACGAUACCCACUCCAGAUCAUCUGCUGUUUUACCCUCCUCAUCCUGCCGACGCUGAAACGUUUUGGGCUUUUCUUUUUUUCUCCCUCCAGGUCCACUAUGUUGGGACGACUACUUCUUCAGAGUGCAGUUAUUCUUUGGCUGGUGCAGACAGCGCACACAAGGGGUUACGGAGCUGUAUCCGGAGUACCAAAUGGACAGGGGCCACAACAUCAUGGGAGGAGACCUCAGAAUGGUGGAGGUGUAGGCAGAAUGCCGAUGCCAUCAAAAGGUGUGGGUCAGGCAAUGGGCGCUCAAAAUGGAUACGGUGGAUACCCAACAAAAGGAAUAGGCUACGGUGCAGCUGCUGGUGUGACCAAUGGAGGAGGGACAAAAGGCUAUGGAGCAGCAGCUGGUGCAACCAAUGAACAAGGCAGCAAACAGCAGGGAGGAAAUCCAGCAGUUUUACCCAAUGGUAACGGAGCUAAAUCUAAUGGAUAUGGUGUUCCAGGCGGCCCGACCAAUGGACAACCAAUGAAAGGCAACGGUUAUGGUGCGCAAGCUGGUGGAUAUGGUGGACAAGCAACUAAAGGCAAUGGCUAUGGUGCUGGAUCUAAUGUUCCUAAUGGAAAUGGGGCUAAAACCAAUGGUCAAGGAGCUGCAGCCGGCGGCAAUGGAGCAAGACCAAAUGGACAAGGGGGAGCUGGGAGUAAACCUAUGAAAGGUUAUGGCCGACCACCUUUUGGGGCAGGUCCAGGUGUUGGGAUGGGACCCUCCAGAGGUCUGGGUGUACCUCAGAUUGCCAAGAACCAAAGGGCCCAAUCACAUGGUGGAAAUGGUGGUAAUGGUUAUAAUGGCUAUGGAGCUCGACCCAUGGGAGGUUACAAUGGUGGUUAUGGCCGUGCUGGUAUGGGUCUCGGACCUCGGUAUGGAAAUGGAGGGAUGAAGGGACCAAAGCCAGGCUAUGGUGCUGCAGCUGGUGUACCCAAUGGGCAAGGUGCAAAAACCAAUGGUUAUGCUGGAGCCAGAGCCCCCAAUGGGAAUGGAGCCAUGCCAAAUGGGUAUGGUAAUAUUCCAAAUGGGUAUGGUGCCAAACCCAACAGUGAGAUGGUUUACUUCUUUUGAAAAAUCUUUU